ensembl:snoRNA
GUGCACUGUCAAGUGACUGGAUUUCCUUUAUCGUGGUCUUCCAAUCUCAUUCCAGUGCCAGAGCAACCUCAGUUUGCAGAAGGGUUGAGCUAAACGAUUGGCCCCCCCCUUUCGAAGGCUGAGAACAAAA